rnacentral:rRNA from 1 species
GAACUGAAGAGUUUGAUCAUGGCUCAGAUUGAACGCUGGCGGCAGGCCUAACACAUGCAAGUCGAGCGGAUGAAGGGAGCUUGCUCCUGGAUUCAGCGGCGGACGGGUGAGUAAUGCCUAGGAAUCUGCCUGGUAGUGGGGGAUAACGUCCGGAAACGGGCGCUAAUACCGCAUACGUCCUGAGGGAGAAAGUGGGGGAUCUUCGGACCUCACGCUAUCAGAUGAGCCUAGGUC